CGGAGGGUGCAAGCGUUAUCCGGAUUUACUGGGUUUAAAGGGUGUGUAGGCGGGUCUUUAAGUCAGUGGUGAAAUCUCCGGGCUCAACCUGGAAACUGCCAUUGAUACUAUUGAUCUUGAAUUUUGUUGAGGUAGGCGGAAUAAGUCAUGUAGCGGUGAAAUGCAUAGAUAUGACUUAGAACACCAAUUGCGAAGGCAGCUUGCUAAACAAAUAUUGACGCUGAGGCACGAAAGCGUGGGGAUCAAACAGGAUUAGAUACCCUGGUAGUCCACGCCCUAAACGAUGAUUACUCGACAUACGCGAUACACAGUGUGUGUCUGAGCGAAAGCAUUAAGUAAUCCACCUGGGAAGUACGACCGCAAGGUUG
rnacentral:rRNA from 1 species